UACGUAGGGGGCAAGCGUUGUCCGGAUUUAUUGGGCGUAAAGAGCGUGUAGGCGGCCAGGUAGGUCUGCUGUGAAAACUCGAGGCUCAACCUCGAGACGUCGGCGGAAACCAUCUGGCUAGAGUCCGGAAGAGGAGAGUGGAAUUCCUGGUGUAGCGGUGAAAUGCGCAGAUAUCGGGAGGAACACCGGUGGCGAAGGCGGCUUACUGGGUCUCUUCUGACGCUGAUGCACGAAAGCUAGGGUAGCAAACGGG
rnacentral:rRNA from 1 species